UCUCCAUUAUUCAACCCAAGACCGACUUAGAGGAGCUAGAGCCUCUGGAACUGCCCGUAUCAACUGCAAUCGCGUCUGCAUCAGCAAAAGUGCCAGCUCAGAAGCCGCUUAUCAGGUUCAGUUUCACCUCUCUGCCUAAGGCAACUGGUAACAGUGCAUGAGUCCGUGCAAUCAUGAAAUGACCUCUUGAGCUCGAGGAGUGGAGAAUGAGCGACGAGGAAGGGAGAAUUGUACGAAGGAGGUCUUGUUGCUAUAUAAUAAAUAUCGAAAACUUGGUCCUUUUUGUUGAGAUUGGAUUGGUGGUGGCGGAAUGAUGUUGUAAAUUAUACAGUAAGUUCAACUGUGUAACGGAAUGUGUUGCCUUAAAAAUGCAAUCCAAUAAAUUUGAAUAA